rnacentral:rRNA from 1 species
GACGAACGCUGGCGGCGUGCUUAACACAUGCAAGUCGAACGGAAAGGCCCUGCUUUUGUGGGGUGCUCGAGUGGCGAACGGGUGAGUAACACGUGAGUAACCUGCCCUUGACUUUGGGAUAACUUCAGGAAACUGGGGCUAAUACCGGAUAGGAGCUCCUGCUGCAUGGUGGGGGUUGGAAAGUUUCGGCGGUUGGGGAUGGACUCGCGGCUUAUCAGCUUGUUGGUGGGGUAGUGGCUUACCAAGGCUUUGACGGGUAGCCGGCCUGAGAGGGUGACCGGCCACAUUGGGACUGAGAUACGGCCCAGACUCCUACGGGAGGCAGCAGUGGGGAAUAUUGCACAAUGGGCGGAAGCCUGAUGCAGCAACGCCGCGUGCGGGAUGACGGCCUUCGGGUUGUAAACCGCUUUCGCCUGUGACGAAGCGUGAGUGACGGUAAUGGGUAAAGAAGCACCGGCUAACUACGUGCCAGCAGCCGCGGUGAUACGUAGGGUGCGAGCGUUGUCCGGAUUUAUUGGGCGUAAAGGGCUCGUAGGUGGUUGAUCGCGUCGGAAGUGUAAUCUUGGGGCUUAACCCUGAGCGUGCUUUCGAUACGGGUUGACUUGAGGAAGGUAGGGGAGAAUGGAAUUCCUGGUGGAGCGGUGGAAUGCGCAGAUAUCAGGAGGAACACCAGUGGCGAAGGCGGUUCUCUGGGCCUUUCCUGACGCUGAGGAGCGAAAGCGUGGGGAGCGAACAGGCUUAGAUACCCUGGUAGUCCACGCUGUAAACGGUGGGUACUAGGUGUGGGGUCCAUUCCACGGGUUCCGUGCCGUAGCUAACGCUUUAAGUACCCCGCCUGGGGAGUACGGCCGCAAGGCUAAAACUCAAAGGAAUUGACGGGGCCCCGCACAAGCGGCGGAGCAUGCGGAUUAAUUCGAUGCAACGCGUAGAACCUUACCUGGGUUUGACAUGGAUCGGGAGUGCUCAGAGAUGGGUGUGCCUCUUUUGGGGUCGGUUCACAGGUGGUGCAUGGCUGUCGUCAGCUCGUGUCGUGAGAUGUUGGGUUAAGUCCCGCAACGAGCGCAACCCUUGUUCACUGUUGCCAGCACGUUAUGGUGGGGACUCAGUGGAGACCGCCGGGGUCAACUCGGAGGAGGGUGGGGAUGACGUCAAGUCAUCAUGCCCCUUAUGUCCAGGGCUUCACGCAUGCUACAAUGGCUGGUACAGAGAGUGGCGAGCCUGUGAGGGUGAACGAAUCUCGGAAAGCCGGUCUCAGUUCGGAUUGGGGUCUACAACUCGACCUCAUGAAGUCGGAGUCGCUAGUAAUCGCAGAUCAGCAACGCUGCGAUGAAUACGUUCCCGGGGCU